rnacentral:tRNA from 1 species
GCGAAAGUCGAAGUGGUACGAAAAUCUGUUUUCCGAAUGGAAGUGCGGGUUCAAGUCCCGCCGUCCGCACCA